UACGAAGGGGGCUAGCGUUGCUCGGAAUUACUGGGCGUAAAGCGCACGUAGGCGGAUUGUUAAGUCGGGGGUGAAAUCCCAGAGCUCAACUCUGGAACUGCCUUUGAUACUGGGUAUCUCGAGUAUGGAAGAGGUGAGUGGAAUUCCGAGUGUAGAGGUGAAAUUCGUAGAUAUUCGGAGGAACACCAGUGGCGAAGGCGGCUCACUGGUCCAUUACUGACGCUGAGGUGCGAAAGCGUGGGGAGCAAACAGG
rnacentral:rRNA from 1 species